rnacentral:rRNA from 1 species
UACGUAGGGGGCUAGCGUUGUCCGGAAUCAUUGGGCGUAAAGCGCGCGUAGGCGGCCCGGUAAGUCCGCUGUAAAAGUCAAAGGCUCAACCUUUGAAUGUCAGUGGAUACUGCCGGGCUAGAGUCCGGAAGAGGCGAGUGGAACUCCUGGUGUAGCGGUGGAAUGCGCAGAUAUCAGGAAGAACACCGACGGCGAAGGCAGCUCGCUGGGACGGUACUGACGCGUGAGGCGCGAAAGCGUGGGGAGCGAACAGG